GGGCACUUAGCUCAGUGGGAGAGCGUUUCCUUCACACGGAAAAGGUCAUAAGUUCAAUCCUUAUAGUGCCCACCA
rnacentral:tRNA from 1 species